UCAAUAAUUCCACUCGCGUAAAGUCGUCAGUCCCUAUCCCAUCUCGCGAUCUCCAUUGCGCGUCUCUCCACUCUCAUCCAAAAGCGAAGCUCUCCAUUCCUUCUUGCAGCUCUCCAACAAUGAAGAUGGUGCUGGCUGGGGACCACGAUGGAGGAAAGCGGCGGGGACCACCGGAUGCACGUAUCGAUCGAGGUAAGAGGUCCAAGGGUUCGCAGCAUGAACCUGGUGCCUCCCAAAGUUGUGUAUGCUUGCUGAAUUUUACAAAACCAGCCACCCACCCAAGUCAGCAAUAUGUGCAAGUUUGGAUGAAAAUGUCCUAACAAGAUUCGAAGAAUAAGAUCAAUUGUGGCGUGUAUCUCAUGCGUCACAUGGAGACUUAUGUUGGGCAAGUCGUGUCAAAAUGGGAUUGUGGGUUAACCAAAGGAGACACUAGUAAGCUUCACAAAUUAAGGCUUCAAUAGAUGAAGGAUAUUGUGGUCUCUAAAUACAAUGCGUACAGAUCAACGAAUUUAGCUUGGGCAUACCAACAUAUUUUGGGCCCUCCGCUUUCCAUUUAUGGGUGCACUUCCCACUGUUUAGGAUAUGAUUAGCUAGACUUGUGAUUGUUUAAACAUUAAUCUUAAGUUUUUUGCCAUGUGGGUCUUCUGUAGGGUUUUUGGUAUUUUUA